UUCUCUCUUGGAUGUUCUAUUCACUGUUUUCGUCUUCCCGCUGCAAGGGCCUCCGAGAGCGACGUUUUGUCGAGCAGGUGGUCGGCAUGUACGUCAGGAUCACAAAGGAGCCUGAUUACCGAAGGAGUUGGCAGGUGAGUGCAUAAGCUUGAUAACUAGAAGCUAGUGACGUUUGAUGGGAAUACAUGCAUGAUUAAUGCCUGUUUUGAGAUCAAACAAAAAGAAAAUGUGCACAAACCAAAACUUACGCCAAUUGUCUUCCCGUAGUUCUACGAUAAUGGGCUGAUGAAAGAAUCCAUUCACCAAUUUACAGUUCAAAUAAAUUCUACGGAGCAGAUAUUCUACAUUACAUGCUUGAUUUCCUCUGUUACACCAUAAGAGCUGUGAAAUUUCACAUCCGCAGACAGUUUACUAUUAUUUGUGGGUUGUGAACAAGAUGUUCCAGAGAGAGAGAGAGAGAGAGAGAGAGAGAUCAUUUUCCUCAUCCAUGUACUCCAGUUAUAUUUCUGUGGACAUUGAGAAGCUUAUCUCUAGUUUCACUUAGUUCCUUGAUGACAUCUCCCAUCUGCAUUCGCUCUCUUGGAUUUUCCUUUGAACAAGCAAGGCCAACAUUGACAGCUGAAACAAAGCAUUUCUGCACUUCUAACUUGUCCACGUCAAUGUACACAACAUUUUGCUCACCUUGUUGGCCAUUCUCCACCAGAAGAAGACCAGGAUCUAAAACCAUGAGUAGAUCUUCGAUAGGGGUCAUCUCCACAUAUUUAUGAAGGCUAAGGCCAUCCUUGAACAUGUCCUCAGUAGGCCUCUUCCCUGUCAGCAUCUCUAGCAAAAGAAUCCCAUAGCUGUAUAUAUCUCCAUUAGUAGAGACUUUGCCUCCCAUGGCAUAUUCUGCAAUUCAUUUACAAAUGAAAGAGAGGUAUCAAGCUAGCAUUUGAUGAAAAUAUCUGGAGAUUUUGUAGCCAAUGGAGAGGCCUAUCUAUUUCUUCUUGGAAACUGUAGAGAACUUAAAUCUUUUUUUUUUUAUAAAAAUUUGGUUCAUGCUAAAAAUCUCUUAUACUUUCAAAAACUAUGAAGGAACCCUCCUGAUGCCCAAAAUUAAAAGAAUGAAAAAUCAUGUCUCACAAAAGGUGAACUGCAUCAACUAUUACUUAUAUACAUUAGCUAGAAGAAAAAGGCAGUGUUUUUCCAAUGUCCUACUACCACUUCGGUUCACUUUGUUAUCAAACCAUUAUAUUGCCAUUAUCCUAUCUAUUCUGGGAUCUUUUUUAAGUGCAUUUGAAUAAUAGUUAUAGCUUAUGAAACACAACAAAUAUCUCUAAUGUUCAACAAUCCUAGAUCAUAGAUUCACUGACAAUGUAAAAUAGUGACAUUUGCAAAGUAUUCAAGCACUUAAAAUCCUGAGACAAAAAUCAUAUGUUCAAGAGGGGUGGAAGACAAUUCUCCUCAAAUUUGAAGUUUCACUCUUAUUUUUUGUUAUCUAGUUAUCUCAAAUUAUGGACAUUUGGGUGUUAGCUAGCUUUUUUUUCCUCCUCAUUCUCUCUAUCAUCAAGCACAUAUAUCCCCAGUGGAUUCUAUGUAGUUCUGUAACACACUAAUUUUUUAGGUUUUACCUGUUCAAACAACAAAAAGUGUCUCAUGUUGUUUUACAAAAGCUAGAUGUUAAUUUUUAUCUUUUAGUAAUUACUUGUUGCUUUUAUAUUUAAUUUUAUUCAUUUGUUAUGCUUUCUCAUGCAAGCAAUGAAGCAUGCUUUGGUCAUUAUGGUAUAGGGAGUUACCCUAAAAUUUAUCUAACUUGAUUAGGAUCCACAUGGUAAAUUGGUUACAGGUAAACAAAUCAAGAAUGGCUAAAGCUAUUAUUCCUAUGAAUACACUUUCUAUCCAUGCUUAUAUUUAUGGAGAUGGAACUCAAAACUUGAAAAAGUAAAAUUUUAGACAAGCUAAUACUUCAGAACAUUAGUUUAUCUUCUGGUGAUCAAUGUUAAGAUAUUUUGCCAUUGUGAAUUCUGUUCUCUUCUAGUAAACCACCAGUUUCUGCUAGGUAUUAGAGUAGUGCCAUCAGUUUGAUCAUGAAAGCAACCUUACUGAGACAAUUAAAAGCAGAAACAUACCAAGGAAUUGUUCAAACAUUAACAUGGAUGGCAUAAACAUUUACAUUUUAUUUUUUUGGGCAAAAUAUCCCCUAAAAAAUAAUAAAUCAUACUUCAAACUAUGUUCCAUAAACGUAAAACCAGAAAUGGAAAUAGAAAUGAUAUCAUAUAAAUCAUAUUUGCAUAUUCAAACAAGAAAUAGAGCAAAAUUUUAAAUUUAUACCUGGAGCAACAUAUCCAAUGGUUCCUUUUAUUCCUGUGGAUGUUGUACGGUUUUGGUCUGUGUCUGGCAUUGUUCCUUGUAAAAACCUUGCUAAUCCGAAGUCGCCCACAUGUGCACACAUUUCUUGGUCCAGAAGAACAUUGCUAGGCUUUAAAUCACAAUGAACAAUUGGCAUAGGUCCGUGAUGGUGAAGGUAAUCUAACGCAGAAGAGACAUCUAUUGCUAUGCUCAACCUCUGAGGAAGGGUCAAUUUCCUCCUUGUCGAUGCCUCAGAUUCUUUGGGAUGUAGCCAGUUCUCGAGACUCCCAUUUGACAUGUAGUUGAGCACCAAAGCCUUAAAAUCAUUUCCUCUAUUAUCUACACUUAAGCAUAUAGUUAGAAUCUUGACAAGAUUGCGAUGCCGGAUGCUUCUCAAGGCUUCACAUUCAGAGAUGAAGCUCUGUGAUGCUCCAUGCCUUUCCAGAUUUAGCACCUUAACUGCAACAGUAGUUCCAUCAGCGUCCAUAACUCCUUUGUAAACAGAACCAAAACUUCCCAUACCAAUCAGAUUAGAAGCUGAGAAUUCAUCAGUUGCCCUUAGCAGCUCAUUGUAAGAGAUUCUUUUGAAUUGCUCCUCGAUAGAAUUUGUAAAUGAAUUUUUCUUUUUCAGGUUCUUCGUUCUGUGCAGAACAGCAAGGGCGAUAAGUAGGAUUACCGCACACAGACCGACAGAGAUGACUGGGAUGACAACCUCGAGCGCGAGAGAUUUAUGCUUCCUACCAGAUUGGAUAUGGCACGGGGGCAGGUGCAGUCCUUG
rnacentral:lncRNA from 1 species